rnacentral:rRNA from 1 species
UACGUAGGGGGCAAGCGUUGUCCGGAUUUAUUGGGCGUAAAGAGCGUGUAGGCGGCCAGGUAGGUCAGCUGUGAAAACUCGAGGCUCAACCUCGAGACGCCGGUUGAAACCAUCUGGCUAGAGUCCGGAAGAGGAGAGUGGAAUUCCUGGUGUAGCGGUGAAAUGCGCAGAUAUCAGGAAGAACACCCGUGGCGUAAGGCGGCUC